CCUACGGGGGGCUGCAGUGGGGAAUAUUGGACAAUGGGCGAAAGCCUGAUCCAGCCAUGCCGCGUGUGUGAAGAAGGCCUUCGGGUUGUAAAGCACUUUCAGUGGGGAAGAAAGCCUUGGGGCUAAUACCCUCGAGGAAGGACAUUACCCACAGAAGAAGCACCGGCUAACUCCGUGCCAGCAGCCGCGGUAAUACGGAGGGUGCGAGCGUUAAUCGGAAUUACUGGGCGUAAAGCGCGCGUAGGCGGUCUGAUAAGCCGGUUGUGAAAGCCCCGGGCUCAACCUGGGAACGGCAUCCGGAACUGUCAGGCUAGAGUGCAGGAGAGGAAGGUAGAAUUCCCAGUGUAGCGGUGAAAUGCGUAGAGAUCGGGAGGAAUACCAGUGGCGAAGGCGGCCUUCUGGACUGACACUGACGCUGAGGUGCGAAAGCGUGGGUAGCAAACAGGAUUAGAUACCCUUGUAGUC
rnacentral:rRNA from 1 species